rnacentral:rRNA from 1 species
AAGCGGUGGAUGAUGUGGUUUAAUUCGAUGCAACGACGAAAACCUUACCCACCUUUGACAUGGCAGGAAUCCCGAAGAGAUUGGGAGUGCUCGAAAGAGAACCUGCACACAGGUGCUGCAUGGCUGUCGUCAGCUCGUGUCGUGAGAUGUUGGGUUAAGUCCCGCAACGAGCGCAACCCUUGCCAUUAGUUGCUACGAAAGGGCACUCUAAUGGGACUGCCGGUGACAAACCGGAGGAAGGUGGGGAUGACGUCAAGUCCUCAUGGCCCUUAUAGGUGGGGCUACACACGUCAUACAAUGGCCGGUACAGAGGGUAGCCAACCCGCGAGGGGGAGCCAAUCCCACAAAGCCGGUCGUAGUCCGGAUCGCAGUCUGCAACUCGACUGCGUGAAGUCGGAAUCGCUAGUAAUCGCGGAUCAGCAUGUCACGGUGAAUACGUUCCCGGGUCUU